rnacentral:misc_RNA from 1 species
GAUAACUUGAUCCAUAUAACCAAACAUAUAGAAUCCAUUGUUCAGCAUACAUCUCUUACUCCCUCGGGAGAAAAAGACCGCCAAAAUACCACAAACUACUGAAAUCAAAGUCCACAUAAACCAGAGGAAGGACAGAUCCAACCAUUAACAUCCCAAAACACAAACUGUCAUAUGAGACGGGUCAAAAACAUAGCGCAAACCCUAAAGACGACAUAAAAAUAGAGCAGGUUAGGUAUUCACCCCCUGUUGGACGGGCACUCCCUAGCGAAGUGGCCAGACUCACCGCACGAGUAGCAGGAACCGCCGCCGCCGCCACCACCUCCUCCUCCAAACCUACCUCCACCGCCACCACCGCCAUACCUGCCACCGCCCCCACCGCCAGUAGGGCAGUCACGAGACAUGUGACCCUGCUCACCACAGGAGUAGCAGGCGCCACCGCCUCCACCACCGCCGCCUCCAUAGCCUCCACCGCCACCACCAUAGCUACCGCCGCCGCCACCGUAGCCGCCGCCGCCACUGCCACCGUAUCCGCCGCCUCCACCACGGCUCCCGCCCCUGUCGUUGAACCCGUAAGAUCCGCCGCCGCCGCCGCCAUAUCCCCCACCGCCGCCUCCUCGUCCCCCAUAUCCACCGCCUCCUCCACGGCCGCCACCGCCACCACCGCCGUUACCCUGGACGGAUCCACCGUCGGGGCCAGUCACAUCAACCGCCUUGGUGCGACCGUCUUCGCUCUCGAUGAUGCUGAACUCAACGGCCUCGCCUUCAGCGAGGGUGCGGAAGCCAUCGGAUUUGAUCGAUGACUGAUGGACGAAGAGAUCUUCCCCGCCGUUAUCCGGCGUGAUGAAGCCGAAACCCUUGAUCUCGUUGAACCACUUCACGGAUCCUUUGGAUUUGGUUCCCUGAGACAUGGUGGAAGCCCUAACCCUAGC